AUACAGAGGGUGCGAGCGUUAAUCGGAAUUACUGGGCGUAAAGCGCGCGUAGGCGGCUUAUUAAGUCAGAUGUGAAAUCCCCGGGCUCAACCUGGGAACUGCAUCUGAUACUGGUAAGCUAGAGUUUUGGAGAGGGAAGUAGAAUUUCAGGUGUAGCGGUGAAAUGAAUAGAGAUCUGAAGGAAUACCAGUGGCGAAGGCGACUUCCUGGCCAAAAACUGACGCUGAGGUGCGAAAGCGUGGGUAGCAAACGGGAUUAGAUACCCUAGUAGUCC
rnacentral:rRNA from 1 species